GACAUCGCGCACACGAGGGAGGCCUGGCGGAGCAGUGGUGGGGCCAGGUGGAGAGGAGGAGGUAGAACAGACAGCUGAUCCACACAGCGUCCCAGCCAGGAUGACACGGAGGCAGAAUCCUAAAAAGGUUCCUGACAACCCCUAAGGAUCAAUCCUACCAAAGAAGCUUAUCUGCUAUCUGGAUCAGGUGUUAACUAACUUUAUCUGUAUAUGUCCAGAUAGUACAAAAGUUGGGCAUUGUGGGUCGUAAGAUCUCUGCUACACCUACUCAUUCUCUCAUUGGACCUGUCACAGGCAAUACUGAAAUUAAUGGCUGUGGCUGUGUUUUGAUAAAAUUUUAUUUAUGGACACUGACAUUUGAACUUUAUACAAUUUUCCCAUGUAAUCUAAACUCUUCUUUUGAUUUUUCUCAAUCAUUUAUUAAUGUAAAAACUAUUCUUAGCUCUUAGGCCAUAAAUAAACAGGCAUCAAGAUAGAUUUGGCUGCA